rnacentral:lncRNA from 1 species
AUUAAACUAUAACUAGCAAGGAAAUGAGAAACUGAUUACAUCUGCUUAUUUGGACAGUGAAUGGAACCACAUAUUCUGCCUGUUGGCAAACACCAAAUCUGUAUAGUUUAUUUUCUUCAAAGACAAUUUUAAAAGAGUCUACACAUAGAAGAUAAUAAUUGCUAUUAUUUUUACUUAUCUAAAUCUAGGGAAUCAUGAUUGCCAACAAUCACUCAGCACCAACAAUUUACUGAAUGUUUAUCUGCCUGCAUUCUUCUUGUGGCUGGAAAUGUAGCAGUGAACCAGACCGAGACCCUGAUCCGCUGGGUAUAUAGCUGGGGGAGUCAGACAUUCAUGAAAAUGACUUCUAGUGCCACAGAUAUUUCAAAAGAUGCAGUAAAGAGUUCUGUGGGUCUGAAUGAUAUGGUGUGCUAACCAAAUAUGUGAAGGUGGCGAAGGUCUCCUAGAAGAAUUGGUGCAAAACUUGAGUCUCAAAGGAUGAGCUGGGUGAGGAGUUGGGCACAGUAUUCUGGGCAGUGGGAACAUCAUGGACAGAAGCCUGAAUGCAGCGGAGAGACUGACUCACUUGUGGGCAUGAAGGAGAUCAGCAUGACUGGAUUGGAGCUCACUUCCUGGUGUUUUCACCUCAUUGCAUGCCCUGGUUGGUUUCUGUUGCUUGCAAUGAAAGAACCCUUACAAAUGCAAUAAUGCAGAAGUAACAAUGAAGAUGACACUGAUUCACACAAGAUUUAAUUUGUUACAUGAGUAAAUAAACAAAGCAAAAUGAACAGAAUUUACUAUACUGCAUCCCUGCUGGGAGUAUGUUGAGCUAUCUGGCCUGGAAGGCCUUUGUGACCUGUUGAAAGAAUAUACAUGGAUUUACUUCAGGAGAAAAAUAAAGUGUUAUUUUAAAAA